rnacentral:rRNA from 1 species
UACGAAGGGGGCUAGCGUUGAUCGGAAUUACUGGGCGUAAAGGGCGCGUAGGCGGCCUGUUAAGUCGGACGUGAAAUCCCUGGGCUCAACCCAGGAACUGCGUCCGAUACUGGCAGGCUUGAAUCCGGGAGAGGGAUGCGGAAUUCCAGGUGUAGCGGUGAAAUGCGUAGAUAUCUGGAGGAACACCGGUGGCGAAGGCGGCAUCCUGGACCGGCAUUGACGCUGAGGCGCGAAAGCCAGGGGAGCAAACGGG